CCUACGGGUGGCAGCAGUCGAGAAUCAUUCACAAUGGGGGAAACCCUGAUGGUGCGACGCCGCGUGGGGGAAUGAAGGUCUUCGGAUUGUAAACCCCUGUCAUGUGGGAGCAAAUUAAAAAGAUAGUACCACAAGAGGAAGAGACGGCUAACUCUGUGCCAGCAGCCGCGGUAAUACAGAGGUCUCAAGCGUUGUUCGGAACUACUGGGCGGAAAGCGUGCGUAGGCUGUUUCGUAAGUCGUGUGUGAAAGGCGCGGGCUCAACCCGCGGACGGCACAUGAUACUGCGAGACUAGAGUAAUGGAGGGGGAACCGGAAUUCUCGGUGUAGAAGUGAAAUGCGUAGAUAUCGAGAGGAACACUCGUGGCGAAGGCGGGUUCCUGGACAUUAACUGACGCUGAGGCACGAAGGCCAGGGGAGCGAAAGGGAUUAGAUACCCUUGUAGUC
rnacentral:rRNA from 1 species